GGGAGGCAGCAGUGAGGAAUUUUGCGCAAUGGGGGAAACCCUGACGCAGCAACGCCGCGUGAGUGAUGAAGGCCUUCGGGUCGUAAAGCUCUGUCAGAGGGAAAGAAAUGUGGGGAGGCUAAUACCCUUUUCACUUGACGGUACCCUCAAAGGAAGCACCGGCUAACUCCGUGCCAGCAGCCGCGGUAAUACGGAGGGUGCAAGCGUUGUUCGGAAUUAUUGGGCGUAAAGCGCGUGUAGGCGGUCUUUUAAGUCUGAUGUGAAAGCCCCGGGCUCAACCUGGGAAGUGCAUUGGAAACUGGAAGACUUGAGUACGGGAGAGGGCAGUGGAAUUCCUAGUGUAGGAGUGAAAUCCGUAGAUAUUAGGAGGAACACCGGUGGCGAAGGCGGCUGCCUGGACCGAUACUGACGCUGAGACGCGAAAGCGUGGGGAGCAAACAGGAUUAGAAACCCCAGUAGUCCG
rnacentral:rRNA from 1 species